ACAUGGGGCCAUUGUGUAGUAUCACCGCCGGAUAUAGGUGUCCCCCAGAAGCGGUGGAAAAAGUCAGGUUGAUGAUUUGACUGUGGUUUUCUACAUCAGUUGGUGAUAACGUCUCAACAGUUGAAAAUGUACAGUUUAUUUUGAUAACGCAUUUUACAGUUAGGUCAGUAAAGACUAUAAUAGGUGGAGAGCAACACUUACAUUCAAUUCACAGUAACACAGAAUCGUUGAGCAAGUUGAAGUAAAAAUUAGAUGAUAUGUAUGCAUACAAGCUAUUAUACAUAUUAAUCCUGAUACGAGGUUGAAGUAAAAAUUAGAUGAUAUGUAUGCAUACAAGCUAUUAUACAUAUUAAUCCUGGUACGAGAAAUAAGUUUAUGCAAUAUUCGAAUUUGUCUAACAUGGUCUGUGGGUGAAAAGAUUUUAACAUUGUCUUGCAAAGUUGACGAAUUACGUUAUAAAGUAUACCUUGUCAAUCAGUAUCACAAAACGCUAGGAUAUUGUGUACAUCCUUUUCCAGUUCCAGAGUGUUAUAACUUGUAUAGAAAUUCCACUAUAACCCAAAAUGCUUCAACAAACGUAACAUCUCUAAUUGUUAAAGGAGGCAACAACAUUAAUGGACAGUGGUCAUGUCUGCAUGGAACAAAUUUAGACGUAGCAAGUGUCAAUGUCACCGUGCUCCGUUUUAAAGAGACAAAAUAUUCAGUUACAGCAUAUGGAUGUCUUGUAUGGACAAAUGUGCCAUUUCUUAGUACUAUAAUGUUGAGUCGUCAAAUAUUAUGGUUUAUGGAAUAUAAACAGGAAAGACGAGUAAUUGUACUUUGGUGUGUUGCAUUCUGUUCUUUUGCGUUCAUCACAAACUUUUGCAAAGAAAACUAUUCCCAACUGGUAUUUAUGUUAUUGAAAUGUAUCCUGAUGUUUUUCUGCUGUAUUAUUUUGAUCAUUGUACCUCUUUUCAUCGGAACUAUAGAUGAACUAGGCCGUUGUACAGGAUUUUUCAAGUACGUCCUGAUGAUUAUUGGUAUCAUAACAGGAGUAAUAAUGAUUCUAUUAUUGUUAUCGAAAGGAAAAUAUCAACAGCGCAUUAAAAGCACAUCUAAAGAAGCAAUUGGACUGGAGGAAGAUUUUUGAGCCAACAAUAUUUCAUAGGGCAUAUGAGGAUACACAUUAGUGAGCAGUUACUUACAGUAUCGACUAAACUGCAUGAGAUAUAUAAAGAUUGAAGAUUGAGGAUAUACAUGAUAUAGGCUCAAGACAUUGGAAUGACAUACACUUAACCGUCGGACAAUAUUAUAGUCAUGUAUAUCUUUUAUUUGUUUUCCCAACAAUUACCAUGAAGUAAAAAAUGCAAAAAUA